rnacentral:rRNA from 2 species
AACUCUUAGCGGUGGAUCACUCGGCUCGUGCGUCGAUGAAGAACGCAGCUAGCUGCGAGAACUAAUGUGAAUUGCAGGACACAUUGAUCAUCGACACUUCAAACGCACUUUGCGGCCCCAGGUUCCUCCUGGGGCUACGUCUGUCUGAGGGUUG